rnacentral:lncRNA from 10 species
AGUUUGUGUUCCAAGGUAAGAUAACCUGAAAUGAAAAACUCAGGAUCCCUCACGAACAGCCUGACCCUGCUUUCAACCAGGAAGUUCAAGGGAGGCAGGACUUUACGGUCAAAACUGCAAAGCCGAAGCUCAAGACUGUAAGAAGAAAGUGAUCUUCAAAGAAAAGGAUUCACCCAAAUCGAAGAGGAUAUCGUUUCGCAUCAGGGACACUCGUCUCCACACCUCCUACCUCAAAGUCCUACGCACCUACCCUUCACGUCUCUCCAAAGCAACUGAAUUAAAGCGCCUACUGGCCUUGGCGGCGCAGGUCCCAAGAUUUUGACUGAUUGGUUGUACGACUAGAGUUGCUGGAGUUCAAGUAUUUUCAUUUUAACUAUUCAACUGAAAGCAGUGCGUUACAACAGAACACGGGUUCCAAAGAAUUUACUGAGAAGAAGCAAAGUAAUACUUGGGAGAACUAUAAUACACAGGCAUCUCAUGAAAAUCAUCCAACAUAUAGAAGAAUAUAUAGAAUAAAGCAAAAAUCAUCAGAAACUCCACCGUCUUGGAUGACCAUAGUUGAUAUUCUGAAUGGCUUCUGUUCCGAUUGAACCUUGACUGAUGUAGCACCUAUCACCAAAUUGCUGUUCAGGAAAUAUGUCCUAAAGAAACUCCCAACAGCAGCAAUACAUCAGAGUGGCACCUCUUUACACUGGUUCUUG